rnacentral:lncRNA from 1 species
CACCUUAACCCACAUUCAGUCGGAACUCAUGAUAGAAGAACUCAAUCUCACAGGUAGCUGCACCGAGAGAUUCGUCUUCAUUUCUGAUAGGUUGCCACCAUAUACUGCUAGGUAUCACUGAUAGAUUUUGAGAGCAAUUAGAAAGAUUUUGAUAAUCGAUCAUUCUAAUUGUCUGAAUCAGAAGAGUUCUAGUCCAUCAAAAGGAGUUUCGAUGAUAUCGAUGAUG